GAUGAAGAACGCAGCGAAAUGCGAUAAGUAAUGUGAAUUGCAGAAUUCAGUGAAUCAUCGAAUCUUUGAACGCACAUUGCGCCCGCCAGUAUUCUGGCGGGCAUGCCUGUUCGAGCGUCAUUACAACCCUCAGGCCCCCGGGCCUGGCGUUGGGGAUCGGCGGAGCCCCCCGUGGGCACACGCCGUCCCCCAAAUGCAGUGGCGGUCCCGCCGCAGCUUCCAUCGCGUAGUAGCUAACACCUCGCGACUGGAGAGCGGCGCGGCCACGCCGUAAAACACCCAACUCUUCUGAAGUUGACCUCAAAUCAGGUAGGAAUACCCGCUGAACUUAAGCAUAUCAAUAAGCGGAGGA
rnacentral:misc_RNA from 1 species